GGGGAAUAUUGGACAAUGGGCGAAAGCCUGAUCCAGCCAUGCCGCGUGUGUGAAGAAGGCCUUUUGGUUGUAAAGCACUUUAAGCGAGGAGGAGGCUACCGAGAUUAAUACUCUUGGAUAGUGGACGUUACUCGCAGAAUAAGCACCGGCUAACUCUGUGCCAGCAGCCGCGGUAAUACAGAGGGUGCGAGCGUUAAUCGGAUUUACUGGGCGUAAAGCGUGCGUAGGCGGCUUUUUAAGUCGGAUGUGAAAUCCCUGAGCUUAACUUAGGAAUUGCAUUCGAUACUGGGAAGCUAGAGUAUGGGAGAGGAUGGUAGAAUUCCAGGUGUAGCGGUGAAAUGCGUAGAGAUCUGGAGGAAUACCGAUGGCGAAGGCAGCCAUCUGGCCUAAUACUGACGCUGAGGUACGAAAGCAUGGGGAGCAAAC
rnacentral:rRNA from 1 species